UACCUGGUUGAUCCUGCCAGUAGUCAUAUGCUUGUCUCAAAGAUUAAGCCAUGCAAGUCUAAGUACGAGCUCUCGUACAGUGAAACUGCGAAUGGCUCAUUAAAUCAGUUAUGGUUCAUUUGAUCGUACAGUUUACUUGGAUAACUGUGGUAAUUCUAGAGCUAAUACAUGCGAGAAGCGCCGACCUCGCGGGAGGCGUGCAUUUAUCAGACCAAAAACCGGCCGCGUCUUCGGGCGCGUUCGCCUUGGUGACUCUGGAUAACUUUGCGGAUCGCACGGUCUAGCACCGGCGACGGAUCAUUCAAGUGUCUGCCCUAUCAACUUUCGUCGGUACGGUAUUUGCCUACCGAGGUUCUUACGGGUGACGGGGAAUCAGGGUUC
rnacentral:ncRNA from 1 species